rnacentral:rRNA from 1 species
CCUACGGGGGGCAGCAGUGGGGGAUAUUGGACAAUGGGGGGAACCCUGAUCCAGCGACGCCGCGUGAGUGAAGAAGUAUUUCGGUAGGUAAAGCUCUGUCAGCAGGGAAGAAAGAAAUGACGGUACCGGACCAAGAAGCCCCGGCUAACUACGUGCCAGCAGCCGCGGUAAUACGUAGGGGGCAAGCGUUAUCCGGAAUUACUGGGUGUAAAGGGAGCGUAGACGGUUAAGUAAGACUGGAGUGAAAGGCCGGGGCCCAACCCCGAGACUGCUCUGGAAACUAUUCAACUUGAGUGCAGGAGAGGUAAGCGGAAUUCCUAGUGUAGCGGUGAAAUGCGUAGAUAUUAGGAGGAACACCAGUGGCGAAGGCGGCUUACUGGACUGUAACUGACGUUGAGGCUCGAAAGCGUGGGGAGCAAACAGGAUUAGAUACCCCUGUAGUC